rnacentral:rRNA from 1 species
UACGUAGGUGGCAAGCGUUGUCCGGAAUUAUUGGGCGUAAAGAGCUCGUAGGCGGCCUGUCGCGUCCGCUGUGAAAUCCCGGGGCUUAACCCCGGGCGUGCAGUGGAUACGGGCUGGCUGGAGGCAGGCAGGGGAGAACGGAAUUCCCGGUGUAGAGGUGAAAUUCGUAGAUAUUGGGAAGAACACCGGUGGCGAAGGCGGCUCUCUGGACCGUAACUGACGCUGAGGCGCGAAAGCGUGGGGAGCAAAACAGG